rnacentral:tRNA from 1 species
GGGCCCGUAGCUCAGUGGUUAGAGCAGUCGACUCAUAAUCGAUUGGUCGCAGGUUCGAAUCCUGCCGGGCCCA